CUUACCUGCGAACGACCAAAGCAGAAGAAUGCGAAGGAGAAAGAAGAAAAGAAAGAAAGAAAAUGAUUUAGCCGUUCGACUUCACUUUCGACUUCGGCAGGUGUACGUUGGAAGAGAUUUGAGUGAAAUUGCGGGAGCUAGGGAGUGUCGAUAAGAGGUAUGCAUGGCACAUCUGAGAAGGGGACGUCUCGAGACAUAGAAAGAUGAGCUGAGUGAGUGAACUUACGUAUAUUGUAUUAUAUAUAAAUUUUUAACCGGAAAAACCUCUUGUUAAGGGGUGUGUUUUGUAAAUAUUUAUAAAUCAGAUUUUGGUAUAUCUAAUA